CUGAAAACAGAAUAAUGAUGGUUUACGUGCAUUUGUAAUUGACUUGAGUUCUUUCUCUUGCUGAAAUUCUGCGGUAGUUGAUGCUUUUUGUUAGCAGCUGGGGACCAAUGGUCCUGUGACUGGAUUGUGAAUAUAGCUAGGAAGCACCAACACUGACACUGUGAUACAACAAUUUCGAAAAUAUAUAUGAAUUUAGCAAAAAGAAAACAACUCAAGGGCAUGGCUGAUGGUGGGCAAUGAGCAUGGCUUCACAAGAAAUUAUUUGAGAAAAAAAAAAAGAUUAACAGAGUGGUGAACUGAUGAUGGCUUUAUAGAGAGAGAGGGAGGUGCUGGGAGGUCUGGUGGUGCUCUGUGAGGCUGUGCAGCGGCGCUAAGGCUCCAAAGUUCAACCACUGCAAAGCCAAAGAACCUUUUGAUUCCCAGUCUCUUAGAUUCUCCUCAAUUUUUCGAGGUUUUGUUAGGGGCAACAAAUCGCUGCGAUUCACUGCUAGAAGUGUCCUGAACAUGUCUCGUCGUGUUGGGAAGUGUCUCGGCUAUGUCCAAAGAUAAUAAAGAGAUAUAGGGGAGUGUCGGCCCACGUUGGUAUCCGACUUGUAACAUCAACACUUCAGUCUUCCAGAAGUGUUAUGUGUUUCCUAGGAGUAUAGUGUUCCUGUCCAGUGAUUUUUAUCAUUAGAAAUUGCAACUGUUACAAUGCCUCAUUGUUCUUUUGUGGAGAUUAUUUCAUGUUGAGUUCUUUUAAAUGAGCAAAUGGACGAAGCUCUGAAAAUUGAUGCGACUAAUGCAUUUUUAUGUAUUAUUUAUUAAAGAUGUUUUAUCUUAUGCAAAGCACUAAAUUGCC